CAGCUUUUCUGCUCCACGUCUGUCUUUCAUUUAAGUGGCUUUUCCUUUCCUUUAUUUACGUCUAUGUGUGAGCAUAUGCGAAUGAGUGUGUGUGUGUGUGCGUGUGUGUGUGUGCGUGUCUAUGUGGGCGAAUGAGUAUGUGUAUAUAUAGCAGUAGUUGUCAUAUGCUCGAAUAAGCUGUCAUAUAUGAAACAUAAUUUAUUAUGUUAUAAAAUAUUAUCGGAUCGCUCCAACAACAAGCUCCAGCAACGGGCGGGCGCUGGCUGCACGCUGCCUGCUCGCUUCAUUGGUCGCUUAAAUCGACCAUUUUGUUGGGGACUCAAUUAUUCAUAUUGUUGCAGCUAUAUUUGUGAAUGUUGUUGUUGUUGUUGCUGUUUGCUGCUGCUGUUGCUGCUGCUGUUCGUGUCGUUGUUUAUUGUUGGGUAUUAUGACAUGUGUUUGGUUUGUAGUUGUCUGUUUUUGGGCCGACGCCCGCCUGCCAUUUAUAACAACUGUCAACUGGCUACAACUUGGGUAAUCGAUGUGAGCAGCGAUUCCGAAUUGGACAGAUACACGGACACGGACAAGGACACAGACACGGACACGGACUAGGACACGGACACGUCCAGCGAAAUGUCAAAGUUUAAGCGCUGCUGCCAUUUAGAGAUCAUUAAGCAUAACUGUCGCUGCUCGUUUUUAUAGCCUGGCUUGCUGUCUCUUUCAUUGUCC